CUACGGGUCGCAGCAGUGAGGAAUAUUGCACAAUGGGGGGGACCCUGAUGCAGCAACGCCGCGUGGAGGAUGACGCAUUUCGGUGUGUAAACUCCUUUUAUAUGUCAAGAAAAUGACGGUAGCAUAUGAAUAAGCACCGGCUAACUCCGUGCCAGCAGCCGCGGUAAUACGGAGGGUGCAAGCGUUACUCGGAAUCACUGGGCGUAAAGGACGCGUAGGCGGGUUGGAAAGUCAGGUGUGAAAUCCUACAGCUUAACUGUAGAACUGCACUUGAAACUUCUAAUCUAGAGUAUGGGAGGGGGAGAUGGAAUUAGUGGUGUAGGGGUAAUAUCCGUAGAUAUCACUAGGAAUACCUAAAGCGAAGGCGAUCUCCUGGAACAUUACCGACGCUAAGGCGUGAAAGCGUGGGGAGCAAACAGGAUUAGAUACCCCAGUAGUC
rnacentral:rRNA from 1 species